UUUAAUUUGUUAUUUGGUGGUGGUUGUUUUUUUUGCAUUAGAAAUAGUGUCAGUUGUCAAACAAGACUCUUGAUUGAUUUGUGUUUUUUUAUGUCUAGCUUUCAACAUCCUCAAAGGCAUCUAAUUGUUCAGGACAUACUGAGUAUCUGCACUUACAGAAAUCAAGCCUUGAGUGGAACUCCCCUGAAAGCAAGGCACCGGGAAGCCAAGAUUAGUUUUCAGAAACUUCUGCACCCCGUGUUCUCCUUCUGUCGUGCUCCAGACCCUGGAGAGGAGUCAGCCUCAGUGAACCCAGUGACAUGCCCCUGGAAAUGGAGAGCUGCUCACAGAAAUGCCAACAGCCCAGGUGAGCACAAAGCUAACCACAGACGAAACCCGACGUGUUCCCAAUCCAUCAAAUACCUUUUCGGGUUUGCCAGGGGACUAUUCCACCAAAAAUCAACUCUUUGCACGCAGAGAGUUUAACGGAUUUCCAUUUUCGGAUGGAAAAGGAUUUCCCUGAAAUAUGGUGAGUGGCAUUUUCUGGCUGCACGCAGCCCCCACGCUUAGAAAGCAGAAGCUGCAUCUCCAACAGCUGAACCAGCCCCAUCUGUCCCAGUGGCUGCUGGUGCCCCUCUGCUUGCCCUGCAUUGGCCCUCGUUAGCCACCCCGUGCCUGUCCCUGCUGAGCCAGGAGCUGCUCUGCCAAGAGCUUUGCCUGUGUUUUCCCUUCCAUCUGCAGCUGUGGUGCUGGGUACCAGGCUCAUCCCUGUCCUCAGCUACCGAUGCUCCAUGGCCAAAGCCCUGGGGUGUCUUAUCUCUGCUCCUUUCCCUCUGGAGACCGAGCGAUGUCGCCUGAAAAAUGCUGCCAGGGGCUGCUUUGGUGGCAGGGCUGUGCUGGAGGUGGCCACCGCUGGCCUGGCAGGGCUGGUGGGGGGUUUCAGCUGGGCUGGC
rnacentral:lncRNA from 1 species